AUUGAACGCUGGCGGAAUGCUUUACACAUGCAAGUCGAACGGCAGCACGGGGGCAACCCUGGUGGCGAGUGGCGAACGGGUGAGUAAUACAUCGGAACGUGCCCAGUCGUGGGGGAUAACGUAGCGAAAGCUACGCUAAUACCGCAUACGAUCUACGGAUGAAAGCGGGGGAUCGCAAGACCUCGCGCGAUUGGAGCGGCCGAUGGCAGAUUAGGUAGUUGGUGGGGUAAAGGCUCACCAAGCCUUCGAUCUGUAGCUGGUCUGAGAGGACGACCAGCCACACUGGGACUGAGACACGGCUCAGACUCCUACGGGAGGCAGCAGUGGGGAAUUUUGGACAAUGGGCGCAAGCCUGAUUCAGCCAUGCCGCGUGAGUGAAGAAGGCCUCGGUUGUAAGUACGUCUUUCGGUCCGGG
rnacentral:rRNA from 1 species